rnacentral:misc_RNA from 1 species
AUGACAUGUCCUCUCUGCAAUAAGCUGUUUAGAGACGCUACGACCAUCUCUGAAUGUCUCCACACCUUUUGCAGGAAAUGCAUAUGUGACAAGGUAUCUGAUGAGGACUUAGAUACCUGUCCAGUGUGUAAUAUCGACUUGGGGUGUGCUCCACUAGAGAAGCUCAGGGCAGACCACAGUGUGCAAGAUCUAAAGGCCAAGCUCUUUGCUUCCAAAAGAGAAAAGACUAAGGCACCUGCAGUUGUGCCCUCAGUCCCAAAAGCUGUGCCCUUAGCCCCAUUGGCAGGCAGAAGAAAGGAGAUAUCUCUCUCUUCCUUGGUGGUCAGCACACCCAAAGCAGCAGCAAAGUCUGUUCUGCCUAGGAAAAGAUUGAAAUGCAUUGCAAGGAAAAGUCCGGAUGUACGAGAAUCUAUUCUCGCUGAGGAACUGCUUGUUAAGAAGGUGGAUGACUGCUACGAGAGUUUAAGCUCACCUGAAACUAUAAGCCAAAUUGCACAAGCUAAAAGGCAGAAUUCCAAUCCCGAGCCAUCCAAACAGUGCAAGACAAAUAAGGAUACAGAGGACAGCGCUGAACCAUGUGAAGGCAAAACUGAGUUGUGCAAACCCUUAAAUUGUCUGGUUGAAACUGCAAGCAAAUCAAAGCCUAAUAAGUCUGAUAUAAAGGAAGCUACUGUCCAAAUGCAGCUGCCUGGUCCUGCAGAGAAUGAAGCUCAAGUGCUUAAAGCCAUGGUUAAGAAGCAUCGUAAAAAAUCAAAAGUUAUUGGUUAUGAAAAUAAAUUUUCUGUGUCACCGGCAGGGUCAGUGAAGACUAAAAAGUUGCAAGGUGUACGCAAAAAUAGAGCAGUUGUCUCUGAGGGCUUGAAUAUUCCAGCACAAACUUUUGUUGAUGCAAGCAGUAAAUGUGAUGGAAGAUUUAGUCCAAUUUGGUUCUCAUUAGUUG